GUCCUUUCGGGGAUGAGUAAAGCGGCGAACGGGUGAGUAAUACGUGAGAAUCUGCCUUUCAGUGAAGAAUACCUUUGAGAAAUUGAAGUUAAUGCUGCAUAUUCCUGGAUUGUUAAUACUGUUCAGGUAAAGACGGCCUCUUGCUGUCGCUGAAAGAUGAGCUUGCGUCCUAUUAGUUAGUUGGUGGGGUAAAGGCCUACCAAGACUUAGAUGGGUAGUCGGCCUGAGAGGGUGUACGACCACACUGGGACUGAGAUACGGCCCAGACUCCUACGGGAGGCAGCAGUAGGGAAUAUUGCGCAAUGGGCGAAAGCCUGACGCAGCGACGCCGCGUGGAGGAUGAAUGUCUUUGGAUUGUAAACUCCUGUUAAGUGGGAAGAAAGAAUAAAACUUAAUACGUUUUGUAGAUGACGGUACCAUUAAAGAAAACACCGGCAAACUUCGUGCCAGCAGCCGCGGUAAUACGAGGGGUGUAAACGUUAUUCGGAAUUACUGGGCGUAAAGCGCGUGUAGACGGUAUAUCAAGUCAGUCGUUAAAUCUCCUGACCUAAUCGGGAGCGGUUGAUUGAAACUGAUAAGACUAGAGGGCGACAGAGAGAAGUGGAAUUCUCGGAGUAGCGGUAGAAUGCGUAGAUCUCGAGAGGAACACCGGUGGCGAAGGCGGCUUUUUGGGUCGUCCCUGACGUUGAGACGCGAAAGCGUGGGUAGCAAACAGGAUUAGAUACCCUGGUAGUCCACGCCGUAAACGAUGAUCACUGAAUGUUGGUUUGACUUCGGUCAAAUCAGUGUUGCAGCUAACGCGUUAAGUGAUCCGCCUGGGGAGUACGGUCGCAAGAUUAAAACUCAAAGAAAUUGACGGGGGUCCGCACAAGCGGUGGAACAUGUGGUUUAAUUCGACACUACGCGAGGAACCUUACCUAGGCUUGACAUGUAGUUGUCGUCAACAGAAACGUUGAUUUUUGUGUAAAAGCAAACAACUACACAGGUGUUGCAUGGCUGUCGUCAGCUCGUGUCGUGAGAUGUUGGGUUAAGUCCUUUAACGAGCGAAACCCUUGUUGUUAGUUGCUAUUUCUCUUCGGAGAAGGCACUCUAGCAAGACUGCCUGGGAAACCAGGAGGAAGGUGGGGACGAGGUCAAGUCAUCAUGGCCCUUAUGCCUAGGGCUACACACGUGUUACAAUGGCGAAUACAGAGGGUUGCGAAGUCGCGAGAUGGAGCUAAUCUCAGAAAGUUCGUCUAAGUUCGGAUUGGAGUCUGCAACUCGACUCCAUGAAGUUGAAAUCGCUAGUAAUCGCGUAUCAGAACGACGCGGUGAAUGCGUUCUCGGACCUUGUACACACCGCCCGUCAAACCAUGAAAGUCGUUGUGGCCUGAAGCUAUUUUAGCCAACCUCUAUGAGGAGGCGGAUGGUUAAGGUAAAAAUGAUGAUUGGGGUUAAGUUGAACAAGGUA
rnacentral:rRNA from 1 species